GUGGAGGGUUAGUAGUCUGUCUGUGUGUGAUGGGUUAGUGUUGAGUCUCUGUGUGAUGGGUGAGUGGUCAGUCUGUAUGUGGUGCCCUUCUGUUCAGUCUCUGUGAUUGACUAGUGUUCAGUCUGCAUGUGGUAGGCUAGUGUUAAGUCUGUGUGAUGGGUUAGUGUUCAGUCUGCAUGUGUUGUGCUAGUGUUCAGUCUGUAUGUGGUAGGCUAGUGUUGAGUCUCUGUCAUGGACUAGUGUUCAGUCUCUUGUGUGAUAAAUUGCUACUUAGCCUGUAUGUGGUGUGCUAAUAUAGUGGGGACUUGGUUAUUGGGUUAAUAACCAACAGUUGUACUUACUCUAGCCAAAUCCCUUAUGUUUCCUUCAGAAGUCUAUGCAGACCCCAGUUGUGGAUUUGCAUUUACAUGUUAAAGGCUCGUCGUUUUUUAAAAAGGGAAAAGCAUUUUUACAACUCGUAUAGUUAACCACAUUUUAACAGCGUUAUAAUUGGACCAUGUUUGAGGUGUGUUGGUUCAAACCUGUGGGUGGAGCCAGUGUCCAUAUUUUGAAGCAAAAUGCUAUGGGCAAAAACAAUUUUGCAUGACGUCAUAUACGUACAAAGUAUUGUCUUGUGGGAAUUAGCGGGAAGGUGUAUUUUGUUUGAAAGGACUGUUUAUUAUUCCUGUGAAUACUUACGCAUACUCGAUUACUUGCCAUUUUGCUAUCUAUAACCUGCAGAUUUUGCCACCAAUCUGACUUACAAGAAAAAAAAAAUUUUCUUCUUUUUUUAACCAUUUUCCACUGUAAAAGUUUUGUUUAAUAAUUUGGUCUUGCGUGCAGAUUUUCAUUUAGGAUCAUAUUAAUGAGCAAAAGUCCGAUGUGAGAAACAUGAGAAACGCUCGCCGGACGUCAUGUAGAAAGGGAUUUUCGGAGGAAGAAUUUGUAGGAAAGCGAAUCGGAGGCGGGGCGCUGGACGGAUAGGGAGCGAAGGAACGAAAAGGAAAGUGAAUUAUUUGAAUGGGCCCAGAGGAUCCAGGAGCGCGCUUGCUGUGUGAAAGACGAAAAAAGGGUGCAAAAACGCAAUAUUUGAGAAAAGGGUGAACGAGAAAUUCAAGCCCUUUCAGGAGUUGGAUAACUAACGAAGUGCAGAGAAACGCUGUGGGAUUUUUUUUCUUUCAAAGAAACGGGACCACAGAGAUAAUUCUCUGGGAAAACAGUCGGUAGACCCGCAGAGAUGGACACAGGACCAAGCCAAACGAAUAAGAAUGGGAGUCGUUUGGGUUAAUUGGACUUUGUUUUGAGAGGUAACUGCUAAUAUAAUUACUAACCGAGGCUGGCCUCAGUGUUCACCGUCUACCAACAGACACAUUUUCUCACACAAGAACAAAACAAACGUUAAAUUCCUGUUUGGAAAUCGGACACUGUUAUCCUACUGUUCACGACAGUAACCCGUUUCUCCCCACUCCUCCCUCCCAGCCACCGCCUCUCCCUCUGUCCUUCUCCUCUCCCUCUCCUCCGGCCUCCAAGAUAGAUUCCCUCAGGAGUAAGGUAGACCUGCUGAAGCUCCCGCUCGCCCUCUCUGCCAAAUCCCUCUCUAAGCGGAAGAGCCAGCAGGGCGGCGCCGGGGAGCGAGGGAUCGGGGGAGGGGCGCAGAAGCCCUGCCCAGCCGGCCGCCAGAGAGAGAGAGAGAUGGACACCGAGUCGCAGUACAGUGGCUACUCCUACAAGAGCUCCCACUCGCGGAGCUCCCGCAAGCACAGGUACCCGAGACACCGCGUGCACUGUACACACGCUAUACAUGCAUGAUAUGCACCCAUGCUAAACACGCUGCACACGCUGUACAUGUAU